GGGCACAUGGUGUAGUUGGUUAUCACUCUCGCUUUGCAUACCGUCUGCGAGUGGUCUCCGGUUCAAUUCCGGAUGUGUCCA